AUGUUAGUCUGUAUUAUAUGGUAUAGUUUACUUUAAUUUGAUUUGCUAUAUACAAUUUUGUCGAAUGUAUCGACAAUUUAUUGCUUUCGUCUGAAGUGGCGCAUUAACCCUUUCCUGUAUGGUUAAAUUUAUCUAAUUAAACACGCCAGUUCGUCUUCAAUCACUGAAAGGAGUCAUUACUGAGUGUUAGCUUCAACAUACCACAUGUUUGGAGAUGGUUUGUGAGAUGAUUCUGGCGCUGGGGAUGUCGAACAGCAGUUUAACGCUCCUGAACUCCUGCUUGACGGCUCUCCAGUGCUGCUGCAGUUCUGCCGUGGUCAGACAGGAGGCGCCAAAACACAGAUCAUCCUCUGCAGCUGCCGGUUUAUGAAACCAUUUUUCACUGGACUCAAACCCCAUCAUCGUGGGCAACUUCACUCCACAUCAGUCUCUUGCAGUGUGUGGCGAGCCACUGGGCAAACUGGUAACACUGAAAAAAAGCCGUCUGUACGGAGGUAAGCGGUCAGCUCAUAGCCCUAAAAUGAAUAGAAGCUGUCUGCGAUGUCAUUCCGCAUCGUAGCGUUCAUUUUAAAUACGAAUGCAGCCAGACGUACCUCUAGCUACAUUAUUCACGCUCUCCAGAAAUGUAGACAGGGGUACGUGUCCACAGUGAGCCUGUGUUGCCUUUAUCACUUUCUUUCAGAAAGCUGAAGACCAUUGACUUCCAUAGUAGAACCAAACAAAUACAGAUUAUUAAUAUUAGCAGAUUAUUCUUUUGUGUUCAACAGAAGAAAGAAGCUUAAACAGGUUUUGCAUCAAGUGAAUGUGAGUGGACCAUCAGAAUAACUAUCCCUUUAAGAGUUUAUCAAUGAGCACCUCAUAUCAACACACCCCGGAGGGACAGUCCAGGGUUUUUGUUUUGUUUUUUCGAGACUUUAUGA